rnacentral:rRNA from 1 species
UACGGAGGGGGUUAGCGUUGUUCGGAAUUACUGGGCGUAAAGCGUACGUAGGCGGGUUGUUAAGGUUAGAGGUGAAAAUCCCAGGGCUCAACCCUGGAAACUGCCUUUAAUACUGGCAACCUAGAGUUCGAGAGAGGUGAGUGGAAUUCCGAGUGUAGAGGUGAAAUCGUAGAUAUUCGGAGGAACACCAGUGGCGAAGGCGGCUCACUGGCUCGAUACUGACGCUGAGGUACGAAAGUGUGGGGAGCAAACAGGAUUAGAUACCCUGGUAGUCCACACCGUAAACGAUGAAUGCCAGGUCGUCGGCAAGUAUACUUGUCGGGUGACACACCUAACGGAUUAAGCAUUCCGCCUGGGGAGUACGGUCGCAAGAUUAAAACUCAAAGGAAUUGACGGGGGGCCCGCACAAGCGGUGGAGCAUGUGGUUUAAUUCGAAGCAACGCGCAGAACCUUACCAACCCUUGACAUCCUGUGCUAUAUUUAGAGAUAGAUAGUUCCCUUCGGGGACGCAGUGACAGGUGCUGCAUGGCU